GACGAACGCUGGCGGCGUGCUUAACACAUGCAAGUCGAACGCUGAAGCUCAGCUUUUGUUGGGUGGAUGAGUGGCGAACGGGUGAGUAACACGUGAGUAACCUGCCUCCUUCUUUGGGAUAACGCCCGGAAACGGGUGCUAAUACUGGAUAUUCACUGGUCUUCGCAUGGGGGUUGGUGGAAAGGGUUUUUCUGGUGGGGGAUGGGCUCGCGGCCUAUCAGCUUGUUGGUGGGGUGAUGGCCUACCAAGGCUUUGACGGGUAGCCGGCCUGAGAGGGUGACCGGUCACAUUGGGACGGAGAUACGGCCCAGACUCCGACGGGAGGCAGCAGUGGGGAAUAUUGCACAAUGGGCGCAAGACUGAUGCAGCGACGCUGCGUGAGGGAUGGAGGCCUUCGGGUUGUGAACCUCUUUCGCUAAUGGUCAAGCCGCAACAAUGGUUGUGGUGAGGGUAGUGGGUAAAGAAGCGCCGGCUAACUACGUG
rnacentral:rRNA from 1 species